GACGAACGCUGGCGGCGUGCUUAAUACAUGCAAGUCGAACGGAAAGGCGCUGCCUUUGUGGGGUUCUCGAGUGGCGAACGGGUGAGUAACACGUGAGUAACCUGCCCUUGACUGUGGGAUAACUUCAGGAAACUGGGGCUAAUAUCGGAUAGGAGCUCCUGCUGCACGGGGGGGGUUGGAAAGAUACGGCGGUUGGGGAUGGACUCGCGGCUUAUCAGCUGGUUGGUGGGGUAGUGGCUUACCAAGGCUUUGACGGGUAGCCGGCCUGAGAGGGUGACCGGCCACAUUGGGACUGAGAGACGGCCCAGACUGCUACGGGAGGCAGCAGGGGGGAAUAUUGCACAAUGGGCGGAAGCCUGAUGCAGCAACGUCGCGUGCGGGAUGACGGCCUUCGGGUUGUAAACCGCUUUCGCCUGUGACGAAGCGUGAGUGACGGUAAUGUGUAAAGAAGCACCGGCUAACUACGUG
rnacentral:rRNA from 1 species